rnacentral:lncRNA from 1 species
CGUGGGGCCUCCCUUGGGCAUCCCCUUGCUGGUGUGAGAUGUCACACCUGGUUUCUCUCAUCCCUCAUUGGGUUGGGUUACGAAUGUGCUUUGACCGGAGUUCAUUCCGCUUUUCUGUGUUGUUUGGCGUGCAUGCGAAGUAGAAGGUCUACACUUUCUGACCUUCACAAAGGUUGAUUCCAGCUAUUCAAAGAUUUGAUUUUUUAUUGUGCUGCUAUCCAGAUAAGGAUUUGAUCUUUAUUCAUAUA